CCUACGGGUGGCAGCAGUGAGGAAUAUUGGUCAAUGGGCGCAAGCCUGAACCAGCCAAGUCGCGUGAGGGAUGACGGUCCUAUGGAUUGUAAACCUCUUUUGUCGGGGAGCAAGGCCCGCCACGUGUGGCGGGAAGGAGAGUACCCGAAGAAAAAGCAUCGGCUAACUCCGUGCCAGCAGCCGCGGUAAUACGGAGGAUGCGAGCGUUAUCCGGAUUUAUUGGGUUUAAAGGGUGCGUAGGCGGUCCGUUACGUCAGCGGUAAAAUUGCGGGGCUCAACCACGUCGAGCCGUUGAAACUGGCAGACUGGAGUUGGCGAGAAGUACGCGGAAUGCGCGGUGUAGCGGUGAAAUGCGUAGAUAGUAGGAGGAACACCAGUGGCGAAGGCGGCUUACUGGACAGUAACUGACGUUGAGGCUCGAAAGCGUGGGGAGCAAACAGGAUUAGAUACCCGUGUAGUC
rnacentral:rRNA from 1 species